rnacentral:rRNA from 1 species
AACGAACGCUGGCGGCAGGCUUAACACAUGCAAGUCGAACGCCCCGCAAGGGGAGUGGCAGACGGGUGAGUAACGCGUGGGAAUCUACCCAUCCCUACGGAACAACUCCGGGAAACUGGAGCUAAUACCGUAUACGCCCUUCGGGGGAAAGAUUUAUCGGGGAUGGAUGAGCCCGCGUUGGAUUAGCUAGUUGGUGGGGUAAAGGCCUACCAAGGCGACGAUCCAUAGCUGGUCUGAGAGGAUGAUCAGCCACAUUGGGACUGAGACACGGCCCAAACUCCUACGGGAGGCAGCAGUGGGGAAUAUUGGACAAUGGGCGCAAGCCUGAUCCAGCCAUGCCGCGUGAGUGAUGAAGGCCUAGGGUUGUAAAGCUCUUUCACCGAUGAAGAUAAUGACGGUGGUCGGAGAAGAAGCCCCGGCUAACUUCGUGCCAGCCGCCGCGGUAA